GGAGAGAUGGCUGAGUCUGGCUGAAGGCGCUCGAUUGGAAAUCGAGUAAGGGGCCACAAAGCUCCUUCGCGGGUUCGAAUCCCGCUCUCUCCGCCA
rnacentral:tRNA from 1 species